rnacentral:lncRNA from 1 species
UGCUUUAAGACUUUAAAAUAAUUAAGUAUAUAGUCUAUAUUUGUUUGCAUAUGCCGACUAGUCGCAAGGAUGGAGUCCUGUGUAGCAAGGACAGAGAACUCAGUUUUAGUAACAAGGUCCAAAAGGGUGGGUGGUGUACUUGUAUUUGAAGGACCUAGAAGUACAAGCACAACCGACGUCAAUAAAAAAAAAUGAAUGACUUCACAAAAUCGUGAAGAAAACAUAGACACCAUACCUGAAGAAGGAAUUUCAGUGGGCAAUAGAUAGCUUACCUAAGUUGAGCCAACAUUGGAAAAAAUCACCCCUAGAGGGGGGCCUAUGACGUGGUCCCGAGAGGACCCCCUUAGAGCUGAUUAGUGGAAGUUUAGACAACACUUGUUGAGGGAGCAGCAGGCUCCCAGAUGGUCAACCCUCAAGGCUUUGGUUAGCCCUGUCCCUUAACUAUGAUAAAUUUCUUUUACCUCUUGGAUGGCUUCUCAGACUGCUUCCUUAGUCUUUUCCUGGCAGGAGCGACUAUCGCACUAGCAAGGGCAACAUCCAAGAUUUGGAAUCUAUCUGUCUAGUUGCAGGAAUUUAGGUAAUUGGAGUUGAAGUAACUGCACAUAGGAAAAACAUUAUCAAAAUCAAUAAAAAUAAGCCACAAUAUCAGCAAUUAGAAAAAAAUUGACAAGGUUAAAGGAAAGGUAUGACGGAAAAUGGGAGGCCCCAUCAUGACG